UACAGAGGUCUCAAGCGUUGUUCGGAUUCAUUGGGCGUAAAGGGUGCGUAGGCGGCGCGGAAAGUAGGGUGUGAAAUCCCUCGGCUCAACCGAGGAAUUGCGCCCUAAACUACCGUGCUCGAGGGAGAUAGAGGUGAGCGGAACUUAGGGUGGAGCGGUGAAAUGCGUUGAUAUCCUAAGGAACACCGGUGGCGAAAGCGGCUCACUAGAUCUCUUCUGACGCUGAGGCACGAAAGCUAGGGUAGCGAACGGG
rnacentral:rRNA from 1 species